rnacentral:rRNA from 1 species
AGAGUUUGAUCCUGGCUCAGAUUGAACGCUGGCGGCAUGCCUUACACAUGCAAGUCGAACGGUAACGGGCCUUCGGGUGCCGACGAGUGGCGAACGGGUGAGUAAUGUAUCGGAACGUACCAUUCAGUGGGGGAUAACGUAGCGAAAGUUACGCUAAUACCGCAUAUUCUGUGCGCAGGAAAGCAGGGGAUCGCAAGACCUUGCGCUGAUUGAGCGGCCGAUAUCAGAUUAGCUAGUUGGUGAGGUAAAAGCUCACCAAGGCGACGAUCUGUAGCGGGUCUGAGAGGAUGAUCCGCCACACUGGAACUGAGACACGGUCCAGACUCCUACGGGAGGCAGCAGUGGGGAAUUUUGGACAAUGGGCGCAAGCCUGAUCCAGCCAUGCCGCGUGAGUGAAGAAGGCCUUCGGGUUGUAAAGCUCUUUCAGCCGGGAAGAAAACGCAUGGGUUAAUACCCUGUGUGGAUGACGGUACCGGAAUAAGAAGCACCGGCUAACUACGUGCCAGCAGCCGCGGUAAUACGUAGGGUGCGAGCGUUAAUCGGAAUUACUGGGCGUAAAGCGUGCGCAGGCGGUUUGGUAAGACAGGCGUGAAAUCCCCGGGCUUAACCUGGGAACUGCGUUUGUGACUGCCAGGCUAGAGUACGGCAGAGGGGGGUGGAAUUCCACGUGUAGCAGUGAAAUGCGUAGAGAUGUGGAGGAACACCAAUGGCGAAGGCAGCCCCCUGGGUCGAUACUGACGCUCAUGCACGAAAGCGUGGGUAGCAAAC